GAUGAACGCUGGCGGCGUGCCUAAUACAUGCAAGUCGAGCGAACGGACGAGAAGCUUGCUUCUCUGAUGUUAGCGGCGGACGGGUGAGUAACACGUGGAUAACCUACCUAUAAGACUGGGAUAACUUCGGGAAACCGGAGCUAAUACCGGAUAAUAUUUUGAACCGCAUGGUUCAAAAGUGAAAGACGGUCUUGCUGUCACUUAUAGAUGGAUCCGCGCUGCAUUAGCUAGUUGGUAAGGUAACGGCUUACCAAGGCAACGAUGCAUAGCCGACCUGAGAGGGUGAUCGGCCACACUGGAACUGAGACACGGUCCAGACUCCUACGGGAGGCAGCAGUAGGGAAUCUUCCGCAAUGGGCGAAAGCCUGACGGAGCAACGCCGCGUGAGUGAUGAAGGUCUUCGGAUCGUAAAACUCUGUUAUUAGGGAAGAACAUAUGUGUAAGUAACUGUGCACAUCUUGACGGUACCUAAUCAGAAAGCCACGGCUAACUACGUGCCAGCAGCCGCGGUAAUACGUAGGUGGCAAGCGUUAUCCGGAAUUAUUGGGCGUAAAGCGCGCGUAGGCGGUUUUUUAAGUCUGAUGUGAAAGCCCACGGCUCAACCGUGGAGGGUCAUUGGAAACUGGAAAACUUGAGUGCAGAAGAGGAAAGUGGAAUUCCAUGUGUAGCGGUGAAAUGCGCAGAGAUAUGGAGGAACACCAGUGGCGAAGGCGACUUUCUGGUCUGUAACUGACGCUGAUGUGCGAAAGCGUGGGGAUCAAACAGGAUUAGAUACCCUGGUAGUCCACGCCGUAAACGAUGAGUGCUAAGUGUUAGGGGGUUUCCGCCCCUUAGUGCUGCAGCUAACGCAUUAAGCACUCCGCCUGGGGAGUACGACCGCAAGGUUGAAACUCAAAGGAAUUGACGGGGACCCGCACAAGCGGUGGAGCAUGUGGUUUAAUUCGAAGCAACGCGAAGAACCUUACCAAAUCUUGACCUCCUUUGACAACUCUAGAGAUAGAGCCUUCCCCUUCGGGGGACAAAGUGACAGGUGGUGCAUGGUUGUCGUCAGCUCGUGUCGUGAGAUGUUGGGUUAAGUCCCGCAACGAGCGCAACCCUUAAGCUUAGUUGCCAUCAUUAAGUUGGGCACUCUAAGUUGACUGCCGGUGACAAACCGGAGGAAGGUGGGGAUGACGUCAAAUCAUCAUGCCCCUUAUGAUUUGGGCUACACACGUGCUACAAUGGACAAUACAAAGGGCAGCGAAACCGCGAGGUCAAGCAAAUCCCAUAAAGUUGUUCUCAGUUCGGAUUGUAGUCUGCAACUCGACUACAUGAAGCUGGAAUCGCUAGUAAUCGUAGAUCAGCAUGCUACGGUGAAUACGUUCCCGGGUCU
rnacentral:rRNA from 1 species